rnacentral:rRNA from 2 species
ACUCUGGGGAUAACAGGCUGAUACCGCCCAAGAGUUCAUAUCGACGGCGGUGUUUGGCACCUCGAUGUCGGCUCAUCACAUCCUGGGGCUGAAGUAGGUCCCAAGGGUAUGGCUGUUCGCCAUUUAAAGUGGUACGCGAGCUGGGUUUAGAACGUCGUGAGACAGUUCGGUCCCUAUCUGCCGUGGGCGCUGGAGAAUUGAGGGGGGCUGCUCCUAGUACGAGAGGACCGGAGUGGACGCAUCACUGGUGUUCGGGUUGUCAUGCCAAUGGCAUUGCCCGGUAGCUAAAUGCGGAAGAGAUAAGUGCUGAAAGCAUCUAAGCACGAAACUUGCCCCGAGAUGAGUUCUCCCUGACUCCUUGAGAGUCCUGAAGGAACGUUGAAGACGACGACGUUGAUAGGCCGGGUGUGUAAGCGCAGCGAUGCGUUGAGCUAACCGGUACUAAUGAACCGUGAGGCUUAACCUU